AUCAUAUUCUAGAUGUUGAGUUCAAGUAUCGAUAACCUUUGUCCUUAAUGCACCCUCCUCUGUUUUCAACCUUGCAACUGCCUUUAUAAUAAAGGCAUUGUCUCAUUCUGGGAAUACCUUGAGGUCAGGGUCUAUUUAUUGCACCGGUCUGUGUGGCCAGGUCUCCGACCUGGAACUCAUAGGUAAGUCACUGGUGUAAGUCACUGGUGUGACUGGAAGGACAGCACAGAUCUCCGCGGGUCGAGCUGCCCUUUGCUCUCUUCAUGUGGUAGAGGGGUAAUUGAUUAUAUUUCUCUUGGUUCUGGUGGGAUGCUGAGAAUCGUGAGUUACAGAGGGUGAGGGGAUUUCCAGACCCUGGAAUACUGGUAUCUUAAUGAUGACAGAAAGAAGUGGCUUCUUUUAUUUCUUACAGCAAAACAAUUUGUUUGCCUGGGGAUUUGGAGAAAGAGACGGAAUCUGGGGAUGUUUAUGAGAUUAGUGAUGGGAGCAUCGGCAAGACACCAAAAAGAUUUUCCUCGCUGCAGAAAUGAAGUUUUGCUUUUUAUUUUGGAAAUACAGGAAAAAUGCUGAAGAGCAAAGAACGACCCCAGAUGGAUCGCAGAAGCAGGGUUCGAAGGUACUGCCCUUGAACAGAUGAUCUUUCUAUUCUGGUGACUCUAACGAGAGCCAAUACUUCACAAAAAGCACAGGAGCUUUGUGGCACUUAGCUGUAAUCUUACCCCUUUGCUGAAAUCCCUCCUGCACUCAGGCUAGCCUGGUGAUCUGAUGUCACCGGGCGCAAGGGAUUAAUAAGCCUUGACAUUUUAUCCUAUCAGUGUAAUACCCAGCUCUUCUCAAGACUGCCUGGCCCUUGCUUUGGCAGCGGAUCACACAGGGGGAGCCGUAGCGGCUCAUAGACUUUCAAGACAGCAGAACAACCUUGGAGAACGAAUGCUCGGACUGCUGCAGGUUACAGCACCCAGAGUCCUGUGGACUGAGCCCAUGAUCUGAAGGCAAGGACUCUACUACUGAGCUACAUCCUCAGAUCUUUAACUUCAUGCAAAAGAGAUUGGACUUGAGGCGCAUCUUAAACCAAGACAUCCCAUGGGAUUGGCAAAUUAAUUGUGCUUGGAAGUUAUGAGAGCAGAGACCUGCAGAAAACUGAUCAGGAAACAAGAAUGGGACAUUAAGAUUCCACUGUGAUAAAUCACCUCACCAAGCCCAUCAUAUGCUGAGAUGUAGGACAGAAGCCUUCUGAACUUCUCGGGUUUUUCCCCCGUGAUGUAAUUGAUAUCAUACCUACUCAGUUGGCUACAGCUUUUAGGGGCUAAGUCUGUUUGCUGAAAUGUUUGCACUUCCUCCUCAACUGAAAGAAUUCAAAGACAUGAAGUGUCUACUGUGAAAAUACAUAACAAAUACAAAAGCUGUUCUCUAAAGGCCUAUCGGAGUGGCUACCACUGAAGCGAUUGCUCUCUACGGAACGUGUGGAAGAACAGCGCCAUGUUGAAUUCAUUGAGGCACUCUCUUCUGAUUUUUUUUUGUUCUAUUUUUUUUUAAAUAAUUUCCAUCAACAGACCUCCACCCCGAACAAAAGCAGGUAAAUACAAUGUCACUCUCUUCAGACACACCAGAAGAGGGCAUUGGAUCCCAUUACAGAUGGUUGUGAGCCACCAUGUGGUUACUGGGAAUUGAACUCAGGACCUGUAGAGGGCCGCAAUAACAUUCGCCACCACAAGAUGGCGCUGGCUUCCACUGCGCCCCACGUGGUAGGCCGAGACAGUUUCGCCAUUACAAGAUGGCGCUGGCCUCCACUGCGCCAGCCGACUUCCUUUCAGGAAGUUAACUGUGUGCACAUGUGCAAGAGUGCCUUCGUGCCAGGUCUUUGCCCACUCCGGGGCGUGCCUAAUGAGAUCAUGGGUAAGCAACCGAUCAGGUAUGGAUGCGCCGCGCUAGGGUGUAUAUAAGCCGCGCCAUGCUGGCACCCAGCGCCCUCUCUAUUAUUAAUAAAUAUAAGCAUUUGGCUACAGAAGGA